GUAGGUGAACCUGCGGAAGGAUCAUUAACACAACAAGUCAACAUUCCGCAAGGAGUGUUUUCUUCUUAACCCCCCUUUUGUGAACGUGUGUUUUUAUACUGUUUGGAGGAAGAGAGAGGAAGCGCGUCUUCUUCUCUUUUCCUUUUUUCCAACCUUUUAUUAACCCCUUGAACUGUUUAUGACUGAACUUAGUUUGAUUUUGCUCCUAGUGGGCAGAAGACGACUAGACAUCCAACGCUGAACAACUCUU
rnacentral:misc_RNA from 1 species